rnacentral:sRNA from 4 species
AUGUACCACUCGUACACUCCGGUUCUGAGCGCGCUGUUUGCAGUCACCUGACGACCGCUCGCUACGUUUUAUUAGCC